GACGAACGCUGGCGGCGUGCUUAACACAUGCAAGUCGAACGGAAGGGCCCUGCUUUUGUGGGGUGCUCGAGUGGCGAACGGGUGAGUAACACGUGAGUAACCUGCCCUUGACUUUGGGAUAACUUCAGGAAACUGGGGCUAAUACCGGAUAGGAGCUCCUGCUGCAUGGUGGGGGUUGGAAAGUUUCGGCGGUUGGGGAUGGACUCGCGGCUUAUCAGCUUGUUGGUGGGGUAGUGGCUUACCAAGGCUUUGACGGGUAGCCGGCCUGAGAGGGUGACCGGCCACAUUGGGACUGAGAUACGGCCCAGACUCCUACGGGAGGCAGCAGUGGGAAAUAUUGCACAGUGGGCGGAAGCCUGAUGCAGCAACGCCGCGUGCGGGAUGACGGCCUUCGGGUUGUAAACCGCUUUCGCCUGUGACGAAGCGUGAGUGACGGUAAUGGGUAAAGAAGCACCGGCUAACUACGUG
rnacentral:rRNA from 1 species